UGCCAGAUGGCGUCCCUGCCAACGAUUGGGCAUCAUUUGUCUAGCUUAGGGCAACACUUAAGCAGAGGCGUCUUUCUCGGAGAAACAUCGUGAGUCGCAGCCAUUAGGAUAUCCAACAUACAACCUGUUCGAAGACAUUUAUUGUGACCUAUAAUGAUAUUGGGAGGAAGAUGCAGCAGGAGAAGGUACGAACGCCCACCUGUGGCGAGAUGUGGCCACAGCUCCAUAGGCAUAGGGACGACACUCCU